rnacentral:tRNA from 1 species
GAUGUUGUGGCUCAGUGGUAGAGCGCUUGCCCAGCAUGCAUGAGGCACUGGGUUCAAUCUUCAACACCA